GACGAACGCUGGCGGCGUGCUUAACACAUGCAAGUCGAACGGAAAGGCCCUGCUUUUGUGGGGUGCUCGAGUGGCGAACGGGUGAGUAACACGUGAGUAACCUGCCCUUGACUUUGGGAUAACUUCAGGAACUGGGGCUAAUACCGGAUAGGAGCUCCUGCUGCAUGGUGGGGGUUGGAAAGUUUCGGCGGUUGGGGAUGGACUCGCGGCGUAUCAGCUUGUUGGUGGGGUAGUGGCUUACCAAGGCUUUGACGGGUAGCCGGCCUGAGAGGGUGACCGGCCACAUUGGGACUGAGAUACGGCCCAGACUCCUACGGGAGGCAGCAGUGGGGAAUAUUGCACAAUGGGCGGAAGCCUGAUGCAGCAACGCCGCGUGCGGGAUGACGGCCUUCGGGUUGUAAACCGCUUUCGCCUGUGACGAAGCGUGAGUGACGGUAAUGGGUAAAGAAGCACCGGCUAACUACGUG
rnacentral:rRNA from 1 species